rnacentral:rRNA from 1 species
GAGUUUGAUCCUGGCUCAGAUUGAACGCUGGCGGCAUGCCUUACACAUGCAAGUCGAACGGUAACAGGUUAAGCUGACGAGUGGCGAACGGGUGAGUAAUGUAUCGGAACGUGCCCAGUCGUGGGGGAUAACUGCUCGAAAGAGCAGCUAAUACCGCAUACGACCUGAGGGUGAAAGCGGGGGACCGUAAGGCCUCGCGCGAUUGGAGCGGCCGAUAUCAGAUUAGGUAGUUGGUGGGGUAAAGGCCCACCAAGCCGACGAUCUGUAGCUGGUCUGAGAGGACGACCAGCCACACUGGGACUGAGACACGGCCCAGACUCCUACGGGAGGCAGCAGUGGGGAAUUUUGGACAAUGGACGCAAGUCUGAUCCAGCCAUGCCGCGUGCGGGAAGAAGGCC